GGGGAUGUAACGGUUUCGACGGGGGUGCGGAGGCAGGAACAGCGGGCGGAUGCGCCUACCAUCCAUAAAAUGGGCAUCUUUUAUAAAUUAAAGAACAACGAUAAUACUGUUCUUCUCGCUGCUUAAUUAGCGAGCGUUCCCCCCGGGAGGACCACGGCCCGGGAUGGAGCGUCGAUCAGUGGUGAACGCGAGCCGGCAAAGCUUUGAGCCGGCCGUGAACAAUGAAGCUACCAAGUCCCCGAGCGUGGCGGCCCGCGCCGGGACAAGGGAAUGGAAACGACCGCCUGCGCCCGGAGAAAUUCCUGUCAAAGCACUUUCGGACGGGGGUUCAACUCCCCCCAUCUCCACCA
rnacentral:tmRNA from 1 species